UACAGAGGUCUCAAGCGUUGUUCGGAUUCAUUGGGCGUAAAGGGUGCGUAGGCGGCGCGGUAAGUCGGGUGUGAAAUCUUGGAGCUUAACUCCGAAACUGCAUUCGAUACUGCCGUGCUUGAGGACUGGAGAGGAGACUGGAAUUCAUGGUGUAGCAGUGAAAUGCGUAGAGAUCAUGAGGAAGACCAGUGGCGAAGGCGGGCCUCUGGACAGUUCCUGACACUGAGACACGAAGGCCAGGGGAGCAAACGGG
rnacentral:rRNA from 1 species